rnacentral:lncRNA from 1 species
UCAGUCUCUGGUUCUCUGCCCUAACCAAAAGCCUCCGCCUUCGCACUCUACCCGACUCCGCCUCUGCCCUCUCCCCGACUCCGUCUCCGGCCUCUCCGCACCUCCGCCUCCGCUCCCUCGUGGCCCCGCCCCUCUGCCUCUUAAGUCUCAUCUCUCACCGGUUCCAAAUUUCCAAUCUUCGACUUCCAUCGGACCAUCUCUCACGACUUUUCUUUUGUUAACACAACUGCAGAAGCAGCAAGCAGGUAAUUCAAAAUCUUCCAUCUACUAUCCAAAUUAAUGAGAAGCUUUCACAUGUAUGAUUUAUAUUAGUUGUUAUGGGGUUAUGGAUUUAGCUGUUUAGAUGUGUAAUUGGACCAAUUUUGUGUUAUGUUUCUGUUAUAGUUUCAAUUGAAUUUUAUGAAUUUUGAAAACAUGGCUUUUCUCUACUCUUGUUAUUGCGUUCCUAAUUUGUGAAUGGAUUAAUUUUGUUUAUUUUUUUUCUUCAUCUUCAGUCUUUCUAGGUUCUAAACUGUAAGCAAUUCAGUAGCCAAUGUUUAACUACUAAUUUUUUUGAUGGUCAUAUUAUUUUGCAUGACAUCAAUCUUCAGUUUGUGGAAAGUGUUUCAUUAUUCUACUUCAUACAGAAAACAUCUUAAAUUAUUUUACUUCUUGAAAACAUCUUCUAAACUCUAAAAGUAAUUAACUAAACUUUUACACAUUUUAGUUUUCAAAAUUUGAUAAAUUCACAAAAAGAGAGUUUAUAUUUGUUAGAUUUAUUCUUUAAGUAGUUGCUAUUUGUGGACCUUGUGGUUCAUAUCUACUGAUCUCAAGCAUUGAAAUUCAUAAUUACAACUAUUGAGUGUAUGUUCUGAGACUUGUAUUUCCACAAAAGUUAUCAAUUGGGAUGUUAUAUAUAUAUAUAUAUAUAUAUAUAUAUAUAUAUAUAUAUAUAUAUAUAUAUAUAAUUACAACUAUUGCCUUCAUCGAUUUUCCUUGAGUUGAUAAACUAUCACAAAUUAUUGCAGUUCCAAGGGAAGUAUAGAGUGAUUAGUUGCUGAAUGUUUAAUGACUAUAGGCUUGAGAUGAAACACUCUUCUGGGCUGGUUUAAGAAGGCACUAAGAAACAGAAGAAACAAUGCUUUGUUGGGGGUGGAAACACCAACGACAUUCACAAAUAUAAACCAGUAUCAUGUGGUGCCUGUUCAAAAGAACCUGAUUCUUUUGGUUAUUAAAAAUUUGUGUUAUUGUGAAGAAAAUUAGGGAAGAAUGACGGAUUUUAUUAAGAAGUGAUGAUGUUGAAAAUUGUCACGCUAUGCUAGCCUGCUCAUUGUAGUUUCCUUAUUUCCUGCUUCAUUUAUUAGUGCUCGAGUGAAAGAAAUUUCUGGCUUUUGCUUUUUCUGUGAAUUGUGAUAUAUAUAACUGUUGAUUUUCCAAACUGUACAAGCUUAUCAAAUAAUUUUUUUUAGAGAAUAUCGGCCUGGGUCAAGCUUAUAUUCUUUUUUCUAAUUCUUCUUACUUUUAGUAGCUGAAUAUAUUUUUCAAUCAUCUGCCGUUUUUUAUUCUAAUCAUUAAUUUGAUCAAUGAUAUCGAGAAUCAAACUGUCUUCUUUAGACAAAACAUUGAUUGAUACUCCGUUUAAGGCACACGGACAUGAUUCUUCGUUUUCGCAAUUGCAAUCAUCAAGAUCUGAUGUUGAUACUUCGCUGCUACUGGUACUUGAUGAUUCCUCUGAAUCAUAGUCCAAAGAUGAAUCAUAUUCUUCUUCAGAAUUUAACAGAACUGCUAAGAGCUGCCUUUUUAGGCCUUCAUCUUUAACCAGUUGGUUAAUUUUCUGCUUAGUGGUACAUUCAGG